ACUCAAAGUCUAGCUCACACAACACACCACCUUACACACCACCACCCACAUCUACUAAUUAAAACAUUCUGAAUACUUAGUAUUGGCGAUAGAACAUUAUCUCAAAGCUAUAGACAUAGUACCGCAAGGGAAAGAUGAAAUAGAAAUGAAAAACCACCAAAAGCCACCAACAGCAGAGACUUAACCUCGUACCUUUUGCAUCAUGGUCUAGCCAGUCAACCCAGGCAAAAAGUUAUUUAAGUUUGACCCCCCGAAACUAAGCGAGCUACUCCGAGGCAGCUUUUAGAGCAAACCCGUCUCUGUAGCAAAAGAGUGGAAAGACCUCCAAGUAGCGGUGACAGACCUAACGAGCUUAGUGAUAGCUGGUUGCUCGAGAAAAGAGUAUAAGCUCCACCUUAAAAAAUGUUAAACAGCAAUACAAGCAUAAAACAACCAUUAAGACAUAUUCAAUUAGGGUACAGCCAAAUUGAAAAAGGAAACAGCCUAAAACGACGGGUAACGACUACAACUGAAAAGGGACUCGAACCAGUUGGCUUAAAAGCAGCCAUCUAUAAAGAAAGCGUCAAAGCUCACACGCACACCCACCCAAUAAUUCAAGCAUCACAAUCUGAACCCAACACCACUAUUGAGCCAUUCCACGAGCCCGUGGAAGAACUUAUGCUAGAACUAGUAACCAGGAUUCAACAUCCUCCAAAUGUAAGUGUACAACAGAACGAAUCAUUCACUGUUAAUUAACGUCCUUUUUGAAAGAACAGUAGCAACCAAACAAGAAAACCCUUCAAAACUAAAUCGUUAACCUGACACAAGAACAUACUAUGGAAAGACAAAAAGAUAAGAAAGGAACUCGGCAAAUAUAGAAUCUCGCCUGUUUACCAAAAACAUCGCCUCUUGCCAACACACAAACAUAAGAGGUCCAGCCUGCCCAGUGACAAAUUGUUCAACGGCCGCGGUAUUCUGACCGUGCAAAGGUAGCGUAAUCACUUGUCUUUUAAAUAAAGACUGGUAUGAAAGGCACCACGAAGAUUCAACUGUCUCUCUUAUCUAGUCAGUGAAACUGAUCUCCCCGUGCAGAAGCGGGGAUGCACACACAAGACGAGAAGACCCCAUGGAGCUUAAAACACAAGCAACUGCUAUCCAAUAACCAUCGAAAGACUAAAUCUACAAUCAAGCAGAAAUGACCCAAUGUUUUCGGUUGGGGCGACCACGGAGAAUAAAACAUCCUCCGCGAGAUGGAGGUUACACCCUGAAACGAACGACAGUUCUAAACAUCAGAACAUCUGACCUUCUUGAUCCAGUCUAACUGAUCAACGAACCAAGUUACCCUGGGGAUAACAGCGCAAUCUACUUAAAAAGUUCAUAUCGACAAGUAGGUUUACGACCUCGAUGUUGGAUCAGGGCACCCAAGUGGUGCAGCCGCUACUAACGGUUCGUUUGUUCAACGAUUAAAGCCCUACGUGAUCUGAGUUCAGACCGGAGCAAUCCAGGUCAGUUUCUAUCUGUGAAGGACCCUUCCUAGUACGAAAGGACCGAAAGAGUGAGGCCAAUACAAAAGCAUGCCUCCACCUAACCUCAGUGACACCAACUAAACUGACACUAAACCUACAAACCCUAACCAAGACAGGGUUA
rnacentral:rRNA from 1 species